rnacentral:rRNA from 1 species
UACGUAGGGACCAAGCGUUGUUCGGAUUUACUGGGCGUAAAGGGCGCGUAGGCGGCUUAACAAGUCACUUGUGAAAUCUCCGGGCUUAACUCGGAACGGCCAAGUGAAACUGUCAAGCUAGAGUGCAGAAGGGGCAAUCGGAAUUCUUGGUGUAGCGGUGAAAUGCGCAGAUAUCAGGAAGAACACCCGUGGCGAAGGCGGCUCUCUGGGACGGUACUGACGCUGAGACGCGAAAGCGUGGGGGAGCGAACAGG